UCGCUCAACGGAUAAAAGGUACGCCGGGGAUAACAGGCUUAUCUCCCCCAAGAGUUCACAUCGACGGGGAGGUUUGGCACCUCGAUGUCGGCUCAUCGCAUCCUGGGGCUGGAGAAGGUCCCAAGGGUUCGGCUGUUCGCCGAUUAAAGCGGUACGCGAGCUGGGUUUAGAACGUCGUGAGACAGUUCGGUCCCUAUCUGCCGCGGGCGCAGGAUAUUUGAGAGGAGCUGUCCCUAGUACGAGAGGACCGGGAUGGACGAACCUCUGGUGUACCAGUUGUGGCGCCAGCCGCACUGCUGGGUAGCCAUGUUCGGAAGGGAUAACCGCUGAAGGCAUCUAAGCGGGAAGCCCACCUCAAGAUUAGAUAUCCCUCCCUGAUGGCAACAUCAGGGGUAAGACCCCAGGGAGAACACCUGGUUGAUAGGCCGGAUGUGUAAGUCCAGUAAUGGAUUUAGCUAACCGGUACUAAUCGGUCGAGAGGCUUGACCAC
rnacentral:rRNA from 1 species